UGAGUGGGCCGGACGGUCGCGGGGCGGCAACGCCGCCUCGAGGAAAGUCCGAACUCCGUAGAGCACGGUGCUGGGUAACGCCCAGGCGAGGCGACUCGACGGCAAGUGCAACAGAGAGCAGGUCGCCCCGGCAUCCCCUGCGAGGGGGAGGCGGGGGCAAGAGUGAAAGGGUGGCGUAAGAGACCACCAGCGGUCCGGGUGACCGGGCCGGCUAGGCAAACCCCACCGGGAGCAAGGCCAAGCAUGGGGCAGGCGGGUCGCCGCAAGGCGGCGCCGUCACGGGUGGCUCGCCCGAGCCCCGGGUAGGCCGCAGGAGGCGUCGAGCAAUCGGCGUCCCAGAUAGAUGACCGUCCGCUUUCCCCGGGCAACCGGGUGGGGGCGACAGAAUUCGGCUUAUAGGCUCGCUCAGUUU
rnacentral:RNase_P_RNA from 1 species